CCUACGGGGGGCAGCAGUGGGGAAUAUUGGACAAUGGGGGCAACCCUGAUCCAGCCAUGCCGCGUGUGUGAAGAAGGCCCUCGGGUUGUAAAGCACUUUCAGUGAGGAAGAACGCCUGGUGGUUAAUACCCAUCAGGAAAGACAUCACUCACAGAAGAAGCACCGGCUAACUCCGUGCCAGCAGCCGCGGUAAUACGGAGGGUGCGAGCGUUAAUCGGAAUUACUGGGCGUAAAGCGCGCGUAGGUGGCUUGAUAAGCCGGUUGUGAAAGCCCCGGGCUCAACCUGGGAACGGCAUCCGGAACUGUCAAGCUAGAGUGCAGGAGAGGAAGGUAGAAUUCCCGGUGUAGCGGUGAAAUGCGUAGAGAUCGGGAGGAAUACCAGUGGCGAAGGCGACCUUCUGGACUGAAACUGACACUGAGGUGCGAAAGCGUGGGUAGCAAACAGGAUUAGAUACCCGAGUAGUC
rnacentral:rRNA from 1 species